rnacentral:rRNA from 1 species
AGCAGCCGCGGUAAUUCCAGCUCCAAUAGCGUAUAUUAAAGUUGUUGCAGUUAAAAAGCUCGUAGUUGAAUUUCGGGGUCAGUAGAUUGGUCGUGCCACUGGUAUGUACUGGUCUUACUGGCUCCUCCUUCCUGAUGAACUGUAAUGCCAUUAAUUUGGUGUGGCGGGGAAUCAGGACUGUUACUUUGAAAAAAUUAGAGUGUUUAAAGCAGGCUCGCGCUUGAAUACAUUAGCAUGGAAUAAUAGAAUAGGACGGUUUGGUUCUAUUUUGUUGGUUUCUAGGAUCACCGUAAUGAUUAAUAGGGAUAGUUGGGGGCAUUAGUAUUCAAUUGUCAGAGGUGAAAUUCUUGGAUUUAU